AACUCCAGGGCCAUUGUUUUCCUGUUCUCCCCACUCCAAGGCCUCUCCUCUCUCCUUGGCCCAACUCUCUGACAGUGAUGCAGUUCUGAAGGCCAGACGUCCAAAAUCAGAAUGGCAUUUUCUUGAAGGAUCCAGGGGAGAAUCCCUCCUUGCUUCUUCCAGCUUCUGGUGGCUCAUGGCAAUACCUUGACUUGUAGACAUAUCCCUCCAAUCUCUACUUAUGCCUUCAUAUCACCUUCUCUUCUCUUAUGAGAACACUUGUCAUUGGAUUUAGGACCCACUCUAAUCGAAGAUGAUCUCACAUGUAGUUUAAUUACAUCUAUAAAAUAUGCUUUUCAGUAAG
rnacentral:lncRNA from 1 species